GUGGAGCAGCGUCCGCGAGCCUGCCCGCCUGUCGCUCCGAUCGGGCCUUAUUUACUGACGAUGUGGAUAUACGGUUCAGCAGAACCCUCAACUCGUGCAAGGUUCCGCAAAUCAGAUCGGCUACUCCAGAGAGAUUGUUGCAGAGAUUGACUGAUUUGCGGUUCCUGUCGGUGGACUUCCUGAACACGUUCCUGCUGACGUACCGCGUGUUCACGGACGGCGUGAC
rnacentral:misc_RNA from 1 species